rnacentral:rRNA from 1 species
UACGAAGGGAGCUAGCGUUGUUCGGAAUCACUGGGCGUAAAGCGCACGUAGGCGGAUGUGUCAGUCAGGGGUGAAAUCCCGGAGCUCAACUUCGGAACUGCCCUUGAUACAGCACGUCUUGAGUCCGAGAGAGGUGGAUGGAAUUCCUAGUGUAGAGGUGAAAUUCGUAGAUAUUAGGAAGAACACCGGUGGCGAAGGCGGUCCACUGGCUCGGUACUGACGCUGAGGUGCGAAAGCGUGGGGAGCAAACCGG